UUCAUUAUGGAGUAUAAGAUUUGCUCCUUACAUUUCAAUGAAGGCUAUGUGAAUCCAAGAUUUAAUAUCAUUUCAGACUAUUCAACUUCCAUUGAAACCGACCAGAAGAAAUAUCUAGCAUUCAACUUCACGCCUACAAUUUAAAUCAAAAUGCAGGCGGAAAACCGGUCCAUUUUAAAAAAUGCAAUACCAACAUAUUAAACGAUCAAUUCAUUUUGUAAAUGACUUCGAAACGUUAGAAAAGGGGACAUUGCUUAUGUGUGAAAGAUAUGAAAACCCGUGUUGCACUCGAAUUUAAUUGGUAAACCUAACUCCGAUUAUUCAAACCAAGUGAAGCUUGAAAGAACGUACACACGUUGGCUGCUUCUAACAGAAAGUUACCUAGAGCGAGUUCUCUCAUAGAGCUGAAGAAUAAACAUUUGAGAAUUGACCACUUAUAUUUGUACAGAGUAUUAGCUUUGUCGAAACAAGUUCACGCGGCGUGGGAUUCAAACGCAAUUAUAUUGGUCGCUCAGCAGAGGUUGCAUGCGUUCGAAAUCCUUAAUGCCGAUCUUCAAAAUGGUGGAUAUACACCGACGAAACACAGCUGAUGAAAAAUACACAAGGGGAUUCAUUUACACAAGUUAGAGGCAGCCAUUUAUGGAGUAAAACUUCACUGUGUUGGAGUUUGGGGCCCUUUGUCCGUGUAAGUCCAUUGGUUAUGGUAAUUCCUCAUGACGGACGCGGGGGAUGACCAGAAAGAAAGGCGGCUCGGCUUCAUUACUGUAAUGGCGGAUGUGAGAUAUAAGGCAUUUUGAUUCAGACUAGGCAAGAUGUUGGCAUAGCUGAUGACUAGGCUCAGCUCUGUCACAUGCUGCCAUUUCUGGGUCAUCCCUAGCAACCAGAAUCUCAGAAACCAGUUGGAUAAUCACGGUAAGUGACCGUGAUACAGCAAAGUGACCAACUCCUGCAGAAAUCCGUUUCUUCAAGUGCUUGAUAUGUGUACGUGAAAUAUUAACAGAAAAUGAUUUUUAAACUAAAUUGUUGUCUAUAAAUAUAUGUUAAAUUUAGUCUGCUUUCGCUUUCAUUUUGUGUUUGAGAUCUCUUUUGCAACUUAAUUAUAAGCAAUCCAAAAGAUUAAGGUUUAUGGUAACAUUUUUAUUUCUCGCAGAAAAAUGCAAUAAAUAGACAUUUUAUAUAAAUUGUUUUCAUGUUUGCAGCUAUGAAUGUUUAAAUUGAUGAUUUAUGUUUUUAUAUAUAUAUGCAUUUGAUAUCUUGAUUUUAUGCAACCAAAGUCUUUCAAAUAAGAAAAUUGUAUGUACAAACGAUUUUGUCGAUGUGGUCAAAAUGUUCACUUCCGGUGCCUGUUGUCAACCUCUAUAGCUACGGAGGGCAAAAACUGGAAUAUUGCACGGAUUACACAUGUAUAUCCGUAUAUUUGUUUAGUAAAUUUAGAGUUAUUUAAAAUUCAAUCCUUCUUGGUCUUGGUUGAGAUUUGUUUUGCAGAUGUGAGGAAGUUGUCAAGGUGAAUCUGGAAGUUGAUAUGAUUUCACCACGCCGCCUUUUGGCGCUUUCUUUGCAUGUUUGUUUAAUUGUAGGCGGGGAGUGAAAACUUUCGAAAUCUGUAUUUAAAAAUCUUUUUCAUGGAGAUUACAACUCUUUAUGUCGGUGUCCCAAUUACGAACGGGACAGAUCAUUAUCAUUAAGGCCAUUGAUCCUGUGAAGAACCUCUUAUUCAGCAUUAAUCUUUGUCAUAAGAGAACAUGAUUUUCAAUUCAUUUUCUUGAAUAAAAUAUAUAAAGCUUCA